rfam:Streptomyces sp. MTSC 1 102, whole genome shotgun sequence.
CUUCAACGACCCCAGCCACAAAGGCCGCUCCGGAUCCCUGCCUUGCCCGUACGUCGCCAAGAGCGCCCGUGCCUC